CCUGAGAUCGGGAGUUCGAAACCAGCCUGACCAACAUGGAGAAACCCCGUCUCUACUAAAAAAUACAAAAGUAGCCGGGUGUGGUGGCGAAUGCCUGUAAUCCAAGCUACUUGGGAGGCUGAGGCAGGAGAAUCGCUUGAACCCGGGAGGCGGAGGUUGCGGUGAGCCGAGAUCGCACCGUUGCACUCCAGCCUGGGCAACAAGAGCAAAACUGUCUCAAAAAAAAAGAAAAAAGAAACGUAACAGAGUGUUAAUAAAAUGUUAUGCCGUCAUUUUAAUGCAUUACAAAAACUUCAGAAUAUUUUUGGGUCUACCUCUCUGGAAGGGAGUUAUGCCUUAUUCUUAAUUUUUAAAAUUUCCUUGUAAAAUGCUGUUUUAUGGCUUUAAUGAUAGUAAACGACAAAAGAUAAACUUUUUUAGUAUGCUCUUGACAAAAGUUCCGAAAGUUUUCUGAAAUUUUACUAGUUUGAGAUCCCCAAUUUAGGAAACCGAUUUAGUGGAGAGAGCUUUGCCUAUUUUUGGCCCUUUGGGUCGGAGAAUGUGAUAUAAAGCCGAAGAUUUACUCUGCCAGACAGUCUUAAGAGGUCACUAACGUUUAGCUAUUGACAUUCAGCAAAAAUUGUGGAUUACCUAUUAAAUGCUAGACCAGGGGACAACUGUUAUUAAGUCAGUGUUUCAGCAUUACUGAAAGAAAAGUGGCCUAUAAAGGUGAAGUCACUGCUCCUGCUGUUUGACAUAUUUUCCAUGUAGAAGAUAUGGACCUGGAAAUCAUGCUGACAGUUGGAGUAAGCCAUUUCUAAUCCCAUGCCAGAACCGAAGGCUAAUGGCC
rnacentral:lncRNA from 10 species